rnacentral:lncRNA from 11 species
UUUCUUUCGUUCUUUCUUCCUGUCAUUUUGACACCGGAACUGUUGAUAUUCGCCAGCAGUGAGGUCUCCAUUUUUUGUUCUGUUUUUGUUGCAGAAAUUUCUUUCUGCCACCAAGGACUGGUUUGGCCAUCUUUGCAGCAGAUACCGAUUUGGCAUUCUUCUCUGAGAAAACAAACCAAGGUGCUGCUGCUUAAAACGUGCAUGAAAGCUUUGAAUCCUUCCAUAGACUUUCCUUCUGAGCCUUUUCUUAUCAAAGAAAAGCCGCAUUCCUCCUUGGUGCCUUGGAACGGGGAAGCGCAUCCUCCCACCUCCCAAUAAAUCUCCCUCCCAGCCUUUGACCUGAACGGUCAGUCGGUCAGCCAAAAUGCCCCGAGAAGAAGCCGUAAAACAAUCAAAGAAAACAGCCGGAUGCGGAGGUACCUGGGUUUUCUACUCCAAAGACUUUUAAGGCUCCCUUUGGCAAGGCAUCCUCCUGAGAAAUCCACUUUUAUGGUGCAAAACCGGAUCAACUCAGAGGUACGUUUUCAUACCGUGUUUCCCUGAAAAUAAGACAGUGUCUUAUAUUAAUUUUUGCUUCCAAAGAUGCGCUAGGUCUUAUUUUCAGGGGAUGUCUUAUUUUUCCAUGAAGAAGAAUUCACAUUUAUUGUUGAACAAAUUUUUUUUAACAUUUAUUAUAUACUGUGCAGUAGUUGUCAUCACAAACCAGCAUAACCAGACAAACUGAAUCCUAUCAAAAAUUUCUUGUUACUACCAUUAUUUCCAUGUUCAACAAUCUAUGGUACAGUAGAGUCUCACUUAUCCAAGCUAAACGGGCCGGUUGAAGCUUGGAUAAGCAAA